rnacentral:rRNA from 1 species
GCCUCCUACGGGGCGCAGCAGGGGAUAUUGGACAAUGGGGGGAACCCUGAUCCAGCGACGCCGCGUGAGUGAAGAAGUAUUUCGGUAUGUAAAGCUCUGUCAGCAGGGAAGAAAGCAAUGACGGUACCUGACCAAGAAGCCCCGGCUAACUACGUGCCAGCAGCCGCGGUAAUACGUAGGGGGCAAGCGUUAUCCGGAGUUACUGGGUGUAAGGGGAGCGUAGACGGCUGUGCAAGUCUGGAGUGAAAGGCGGGGGCCCAACCCCCGGACUGCUCUGGAAACUGUAUGGCUGGAGUGCAGGAGAG